rnacentral:tRNA from 1 species
AUCUUUGUAGCUUAUUUAGAGCAUUUCAGUGAAGUUGAUAGGGAACUUUGCAGUCGAAGGUA